rnacentral:rRNA from 3 species
GCCUGUUUAACAAAAACAUCGCCUCCUGCAACAAAACCAAGUAUAGGAGGUCCAGCCUGCCCAGUGACCACAAGUUCAACGGCCGCGGUAUUUUGACCGUGCAAAGGUAGCGCAAUCACUUGUCUUUUAAAUAGAGACCUGUAUGAAUGGCUAAACGAGGGCUUAACUGUCUCCCCUUUCAAGUCAGUGAAAUUGAUCUGCCCGUGCAGAAGCGGGUAUAAUAAUACAAGACGAGAAGACCCUUUGGAGCUUAAGGUACAAAACUCAACCACGUCAAGCAACUUAAUAAAAAGAAAAAACCUUGUGGAAUAUGAUAUUUUACCUUCGGUUGGGGCGACCACGGAGGAAAGAAAAGCCUCCAAGUGGAUCUGGGAAAAUUUCCUAAAGCCAAGAGAGACAUCUCUAAGCCGCAGAACAUCUGACCAAACAUGAUCCGGCAACAAAGCCGAUCAACGAACCAAGUUACCCUAGGGAUAACAGCGCAAUCCUCUCCCAGAGUCCAUAUCGACGAGGGGGUUUACGACCUCGAUGUUGGAUCAGGACAUCCUAAUGGUGCAGCCGCUAUUAAGGGUUCGUUUGUUCAACGAUUAAAGUCCUACAUGAUCUGAGUUCAGACCGGAG